rnacentral:lncRNA from 1 species
CAAACUGGCACUUUAUUGUUACAGCUGCAGAAGGGGCCGAGAGAGAUGGGAGCGAGCAGACUAUAGCUAGCUAGGCUAAUUGACGCCACAUGCUGCGCAUUCCCCCCAACCCAAUUCAGACCGAAGAGGAGGAGGUGGUAGCGGAGGUGUAGGGGAGGGGGUGGCAGAAGGGAGGCUGUUCCUCAGACGGCGCAGAGCGCUCUCUUCUCGUCUCCCCUCAUCAUUGGUAUGCAGUGACUGUUCCCCAGGCGACAGGGCCACUGGGUUGGGGCUAAACUGACUGCAGGAGAGUCAGGUCUACAAAGUAAAUGAGAGGAGAGCAAGACAGCAGGGAUCCCUACAACCUACAGGAUAAGUUAAACCCAGGUGAUAUAUAAGAAACCCCACAUAGUGUUGUAACAAUUUGAUUUCCACUUCUCUAGUAAAGUUUUUAUUCCCUG